UGACAGACUAACCAGGUUUAUCCCCACACAGACUGGUACAGGAUGACAGACUAACCCAGGUUUAUCCCCACACAGACUGGUACAGGAUGACAGACUAACCCAGGUUUAUCCCCACACAGACUGGUACAGGAUGACAGACUAACCCAGGUUUAUCCCCACACAGACUGGUACAGGAUGACAGACUAACCCAGGUUUAUCCCCACACAGACUGGUACAGGUAUGGAUGACAGACUAACCCAGGUUUAUCCCCACACAGACUGGUACAGGUAUGGAUGACAGACUAACCCAGGUUUAUCCCCACACAGACUGGUACAGGUAUGGAUGACAGACUAACCCAGGUUUAUCCCCACACAGACUGGUACAGGAUGACAGACUAACCCAGGUUUAUCCCCACACAGACUGGUACAGGUAUGGAUGACAGACUAACCCAGGUUUAUCCCCACACAGACUGGUACAGGAUGACAGACUAACCCAGGUUUAUCCCCACACAGACUGGUACAGGAUGACAGACUAACCCAGGUUUAUCCCCACACAGACUGGUACAGGAUGACAGACUAACCCAGGUUUAUCCCCACACAGACUGGUACAGGAUGACAGACUAACCCAGGUUUAUCCCCACACAGACUGGUACAGGUAUGGAUGACAG